rnacentral:rRNA from 1 species
UACGUAGGGGGCUAGCGUUGUCCGGAUUUACUGGGCGUAAAGAGCGCGCAGGCGGUCGUUCAAGUCGCGUGUGAAAGCCCCCCGGCUCAACUGGGGAGGGUCACGCGAUACUGAUCGACUGGAAGGCAGGAGAGGGUAGUGGAAUUCCCGGUGUAGUGGUGAAAUGCGCAGAUAUCAGGAGGAACACCGGUGGCGAAGGCGGAUCUCUGGGCCUUACCUGACGCUGAGGCGCGAAAGCUAGGGGAGCGAACAGG